rnacentral:piRNA from 1 species
UAGUAUUUUGGGAAGCUGAGGCCUUUC